rnacentral:lncRNA from 1 species
AUGAAAAGAAAUGGCGGCUGGGGUGCAGGGGGCGGAGGAGGGGGUGGGGGAGGGAAACGGUGGGUGAGGAGGGCAGAGAUUCUGGAAAGGGGCCCGAGUUCCUGUGCAUCCACCGGUGCCCAUCCCCGGUCUCCUGUCUGUCUGCAGGUCUACGUGUCUGUUGUUCCCUGCGCUCUACUGGGCUAUAGAAAGAGGAGGAACCUGUCCAGAAUCCCCGCAGGACAGGAAAAGGAGGGGACGCUCAACAUGGAAAAACUCUGCAGUGAAAAUGAAGCAAAGCCUGAGAACCAGGGCAAGAUGGAAAACAAAGAACAGCCACUGGAUGCAGGAAAACCAGGAGCAGCUUGUACUAGGGAAGAUGAGGAAAACUUAGAAAACCAGGGAAGGACAGAUCCCAAGGGAAAAACAGAUGAGGAAGUAUUAACAGUUACGGAAAGGCCAGAGAGUGAGACCAAGCCAGAAGAAGGAGCCCCAGAGAGCCAAGAAAAGCCAGAGAGUGAGGAACAAGCGCAAGAAAGAAAAGCAGAGAGCGAGGGGAAGCCAGAGAGCGCGGGGAAGCCAGAGAGCGCGGGGAAGCCAGAGAGCGAGGGGAAGCCAGAGAGCGAGGGGAAGCCAGAGAGCGAGGGGAAGCCAGUGAGUGAGGAAGAAGCAAAAGAAACAAAAGCAGAGAGUGAGGGGAAGCCAGAGAGUGAGGAACAAGCACAAGAAAGAAAAGCAGAGAGCGAGGGGAAGCCAGAGAGCGAGGGGAAGCCAAAAGAAGACAAGCCAGCCAGCGAACCAAGGGAACCGAGGGCUGGCAGAAAGCGCCCAGCUGGGGAGGAUGUACCCAGGAAGGCCAAAAGAAAAACCAACAAGGGGCUGGCUCAGUGUCUCAAGGAAUACAAGGAGGCCAUACAUGAUAUGCAUUUGAGCAAUGAAGAGAUGAUAAGAGAAUUUGAUGAGAUGGCCAGGGUGGAGGAUGAGGUGAAGAAAACCAGACAGAAAUUGGGGGGGUUUAUGUGGAUGCAAAAAAGUUUACAGGACCCCUUCCACCCAAGGGGCCCAAGGGAACUCAGGGGUGGCUGCAGGGCCCCGCAAAGAGGCUUUGAAGACAUUCCUUUUGUGUAG